ACUCAAAUGAAUAGACGGGGGCCCGCACAAGCGGCGGAGCAUGCGGAUUAAUUCGAUGCAACGCGAAGAACCUUACCAAGGCUUGACAUGUACGAGAAAGCCCCAGAGAUGGGGUUCUCUUUGGACACUCGUACACAGGUGGUGCAUGGUUGUCGUCAGCUCGUGUCGUGAGAUGUUGGGUUAAGUCCCGCAACGAGCGCAACCCUUAUCCUAUGUUGCCAGCGGGUUAUGCCGGGGACUCAUGGGAGACUGCCGGGGUCAACUCGGAGGAAGGUGGGGAUGACGUCAAAUCAUCAUGCCCCUUAUGUCUUGGGCUUCACGCAUGCUACAAUGGCCGGUACAGAGGGCUGCGAUACCGUGAGGUGGAGCGAAUCCCAAAAAGCCGGUCUCAGUUCGGAUCGGGGUCUGCAACUCGACCCCGUGAAGUCGGAGUCGCUAGUAAUCGCAGAUCAGCAACGCUGCGGUGAAUACGUUCCCGGGCCUUGUACACACCGCCCGU
rnacentral:rRNA from 1 species